AUUGAACGCUGGCGGCAUGCUUUACACAUGCAAGUCGAACGGUAACAGGUUAAGCUGACGAGUGGCGAACGGGUGAGUAAUGCAUCGGAACGUGCCCGGUCGUGGGGGAUAACGCAGCGAAAGCUGCGCUAAUACCGCAUACGAUCUGAGGAUGAAAGCGGGGGACCGUAAGGCCUCGCGCGAUCGGAGCGGCCGAUGUCAGAUUAGGUAGUUGGUGGGGUAAAGGCCUACCAAGCCGACGAUCUGUAGCUGGUCUGAGAGGACGACCAGCCACGCUGGGACUGAGACACGGCCCAGACUCCUACGGGAGGCAGCAGUGGGGAAUUUUGGACAAUGGGCGCAAGCCUGAUCCAGCAAUGCCGCGUGCAGGAAGAAGGCCUUCGGGUUGUAAACUGCUUUUGUACGGAGCGAAAAGGCUCUCUCUAAUACAGGGGGUUCAUGACGGUACCGUAAGAAUAAGCACCGGCUAACUACGUGCCAGCCGCCGCGGUAAUAC
rnacentral:rRNA from 1 species